GAUGAACGCUGGCGGCGUGCCUAAUACAUGCAAGUCGAGCGGACGGACGAGAAGUUUGCUUGGAUGAAGUUAGGGGCGGGCGGGUGAGGAAUAGGAGGAUGCCCGACAUAUAGGACUGGGGUAAGUUAGGGGGCGCGGAGAUCACACCGGAUCAUAUUUUGAACCGCGUGGUUCAACGGAGAACGCCGGUCUUGCUGACCCUUAUAGAUGGAUCCAGGCUGGAUUAGCUAGUUGGUACGGUAACGGCUUACCAAGGCAACGAUGCGUAGCUGACCUGAGAGGGUGAUCAGCCACACUGGAACUGAGACACGGUCCAGACUCCUACGGGAGGCAGCAGUGGGGAAUCUUCGGCAAUGGGCGAAAGCCUGACGGAGCAACGCCGCGUGUGUGAAGAAGGUCUUCGGAUCGUAAAACUCUGUUAGUAGGGAAGAACAUCUGUGUAAUUAACUGUGCAUGUCUUGACGGUACCAAAUCAGAAAGCCACGGCUAACUACGUG
rnacentral:rRNA from 1 species